rnacentral:sRNA from 2 species
UAGUUGAAAAUCACAAUAUGUAUUUUUUAUCUCACUUCUAGCUUUAUGGUGAUGAUACGACUGUAGCUGAAGAUAAAUUAUUGCCUGUCUUUCAAUUGGUUUCAUCUUACGUUCGAUUAUCCCCUUCUUUGACACUCUCUACCUAGCAUUCUGCAGGGGAUCGUUAGGAGGGAGUAACACUUUAAUUAACCCUUUCGUACCUGAGUACUUUUGUGCAAUUUUGGAAAACUCGGAAACUGUAUCGAAACCAUGAUUUUUCUCUUGUGUCGUGGGAAGUGCAAGUCUUGGUCGCCGUGAAAUGCCCUUUAUUUGUGCAGCAUUUCAUCUGUGAGAGGAUGAUUGUGCUUCUUACUUACUGGCAAAACAAUCUACUGUCCA